rnacentral:rRNA from 1 species
UACAGAGGUCUCAAGCGUUGUUCGGAUUCAUUGGGCGUAAAGAGCGCGCAGGCGGUCGAUCAAGUCGAGUGUGAAAGCCCCCGGCUCAACUGGGGAGGGUCAUUCGAUACUGAUCGACUCGAAGGCAGGAGAGGGUAGUGGAAUUCCCGGUGUAGUGGUGAAAUGCGUAGAUAUCGGGAGGAACACCAGUGGCGAAGGCAGCUCGCUGGGACGUUACUGACGCUGAGAGCGAA